GAUGAACGCUGGCGGCGUGCCUAAUACAUGCAAGUCGAGCGAACAGACGAGGAGCUUGCUCCUCUGACGUUAGCGGCGGACGGGUGAGUAACACGUGGAUAACCUACCUAUAAGACUGGGAUAACUUCGGGAAACCGGAGCUAAUACCGGAUAAUAUAUUGAACCGCAUGGUUCAAUAGUGAAAGACGGUUUUGCUGUCACUUAUAGAUGGAUCCGCGCCGCAUUAGCUAGUUGGUAAGGUAACGGCUUACCAAGGCAACGAUGCGUAGCCGACCUGAGAGGGUGAUCGGCCACACUGGAACUGAGACACGGUCCAGACUCCUACGGGAGGCAGCAGUAGGGAAUCUUCCGCAAAGGGCGAAAGCCUGACGGAGCAACGCCGCGUGAGUGAUGAAGGUCUUCGGAUCGUAAAACUCUGUUAUUAGGGAAGAACAAAUGUGUAAGUAACUACGCACGUCUUGACGGUACCUAAUCAGAAAGCCACGGCUAACUACGUG
rnacentral:rRNA from 1 species